CGGACGCACCCAGAGCGAACUCAGGCAGCGAACGAAGCUCGGCCGCCAUAUUGGGGGAGCCCGGCGAUUCUGCGGAGCCGGCAGAGGCUUUAGGAAGCGCGGGAGGCGAGUGGUGGAGCACUGGGGACGGUGAGGUGGAGGACAAGCCCGUAGGAGAUCGGGGGCCGGAGUCUGGGAACCGGGAGGUGGAGGUAUCAUCUGGAGACAGAUGUAGGGCGGGCCUGGCUGGAGGCGGCUUCCAGAGGUCGAAUGGGCCUCGUCCUCACGGCUCUGCGGGGCUUGCCUAGGCCCCUUACGCCUCUUGCUCCAUUUUCUAAGGAAGAUACUGAGGGAGUCAGUUCACGUCUGGGCUCGGAGCAUCAUUUAGACCCUCUGACAGGACCGUCGGGGUGGUCGAUAUCUUUGUUGUGGUGCGGGGGCCCCGGGCGGCGACCUUCUCGCCUGUGGUCGGAGGAGAUUCCACCCACAGAGUUGGGCUGUCCCCUCCAAACAGUCUGUCUGCACUGUGGAAAGAUGGGCGCCUUCUCUUCCUCCUGAGGGUGUCUGAAGGGUUAAAAAUGCUGAUAUACUUUAUGCUGUUUGUCUUCCUCCGUUUUGCACCUCAUUCAGAAAACAAAAGUAACUAGUUAUUUUGGGUCAGGAAGGUAGGCACUUCACACUACUAGAAGUUAAUAAAAACUGUAGCUGAUAAACAAA